ACGUACACUCCUGCGGGAGGCAGCAGUGGGGAAUUUUGGACAAUGGGGGCAACCCUGAUCCAGCAAUGCCGCGUGAGUGAAGAAGGCCUUCGGGUUGUAAAGCUCUUUUGUCAGGGAAGAAACGGUGGUGGCGAAUAACUACUACUAAUGACGGUACCUGAAGAAUAAGCACCGGCUAACUACGUGCCAGCAGCCGCGGUAAUACGUAGGGUGCAAGCGUUAAUCGGAAUUACUGGGCGUAAAGCGUGCGCAGGCGGUUGUGUAAGUCAGAUGUGAAAUCCCCGGGCUCAACCUGGGAAUUGCAGUUGAGGCUGCACGGGUAGAGUGUGUCAGAGGGGGGUAGAAUUCCACGUGUAGCAGUGAAAUGCGUAGAUAUGUGGAGGAAUACCGAUGGCGAAGGCAGCCCCCUGGGAUAACACUGACGCUCAUGCACGAAAGCGUGGGGAGCAAACAGGAUUAGAUACCCUGGUAGUCCCA
rnacentral:rRNA from 1 species